rnacentral:misc_RNA from 1 species
GAUGAAGAACGUAGCGAAACGCGAUAGUUAAUGUGAAUUGCAGAAUUCAGUGAAUCAUCGAGUCUUUGAACGCACAUUGCGCCCCCUGGUAUUCCGGGGGGCAUGCCUGUCCGAGCGUCAUUGCUGCCCAUCAAGCACGGCUUGUGUGUUGGGUCCUCGUCCCCCCCGGGGGACGUGCCCGAAAGGCAGCGGCGGCACCGCGUCCGGUCCUCGAGCGUAUGGGGCUUUGUCACCCGCUCUGCAGGCCCGGCCGGCGCUGGCCGACGCGAAAGCAACCAUUUUUUCUCCAGGUUGACCUCGGAUCAGGUAGGGAUACCCGCUGAACUUAAGCAUAUCAAUAAGCGGAGGA